UACGUAGGGUGCAAGCGUUAUCCGGAAUUAUUGGGCGUAAAGAGCUCGUAGGCGGUUUGUCGCGUCUGCUGUGAAAACUGGGGGCUCAACCCCCAGCCUGCAGUGGGUACGGGCAGACUAGAGUUCGGUAGGGGAGACUGGAAUUCCUGGUGUAGCGGUGAAAUGCGCAGAUAUCAGGAGGAACACCGGUGGCGAAGGCGGGUCUCUGAGCCGAAACUGACGCUGAGGAGCGAAAGCGUGGGGAGCAAACAGG
rnacentral:rRNA from 1 species